CCGCGACACCGUGGUGAUUUGGUGCCGGAUUGCAGGCCACGUAAAACACGCUGCUAAAAGGACGCGGAACCCCCGAG
rnacentral:ncRNA from 2 species